rnacentral:tRNA from 1 species
GUGGUGAAGUGGUUAACACAUCAGAUUGUGGCUCUGACAUUCGGGGGUUCGAAUCCCUCUCUUUCCA